rnacentral:tRNA from 1 species
GGAUUGUGGCUCAGUGGUGGAGCGCUCGCCUAUCACAUGCGAGGCCUUGGGUUCGAUCUUCAUCACCA